CUUCCCCCCCACCCCCCCAAAAAAAAAUCCUCCUAAAUUGCCAGUCUGCGCACCUGCCGGCGGAACCCUAGCUCCGGAGCUACUUGCCAGAUCAGGGCGGCUGAAUCGGCGGCUCCUUCCCUAGCGCCGCACUUUCGGAGGCUUGCGCCGCUCGGCGCGUCCCCAGCCCGCAUCUUUCCUCCGUCUGCACCUUCAGGAUUCGCGCCGCUCCGGCCUGAGGGCUUUGGAGGCUUGCUGUUGCUGCCCUCCUCUUCACCGCCGUGCGUGCAGAUGAGUCCGAUAUGCUUGGUCAAGUUUAGUGCAGCUGCCCCCUAUUAAUUCCAUUUUCAGGAGUCCGAUAUCCAGGCAUCGAGCACUCUAUGCACCAUCCAAUCUCGCCGCUCUACCAACUUCGCCUAAACACCGACUGCCAAUGCUCCAUAUACCAUCAUACAAUCUUGCCAUUCUACCUCCUUCGCCGGAACACCGACCGCCGCUCCAUCUGAGUUACAAAUUGAAUUCAACAUGUCAGUUGAGGAAGCUGCUGAGCUAGCAUGGCAGGCUAUUUAUCAUGCAACAUUCCUUAACGGAGGUAGUGAUGAAACUUUUGGAGAAACUUACAACUACUACUAUUGUUCUCUAGUGAAAGAGCACACUGAAUAUACGUGGACAUAUCAUGCCAAGGCAGAUUAAAGGGAGAUUGGAGAAAAACUAUCAGAAAUCAGGUUGGAUUACCCACUCCUUAAUAAAGAAGUCAUACAAGAUGUAAGAAAUCUAUGGGAAGAUCCAUCCAUCCAGGUCAACAGAAGUUCAUAUUUCUGUAAAUGUGUAUACUGUCAAACAACCAGCUUUAUUAUAAAUAAAUGCAUUUAUAGAGAACUUACUUGUGUGGAAGUGUGCUGCAAGUUCCUGACUGUGCACACUACUUCAUGGAGAAUCUGGACCGGUUAGCUGAAGCAGAUUACGUACCAACAAAGGUGUUGUUAACCACUCAUUUUCUUCAGCAUGAACAUCUUGGCCGGCCUAUUUACCAAAAUCUAGGGAGCCUUUUGAUGGAUUUCCUGUAAUUUUUGGGGGAAUGUGUUGAUCCACGUCAUAAGCGUAUUUCCAUCCAAGGAAGAGGAAUUUGUUUGAACCGAGAAAGAGGGCACAGCAUUGAUCCAAUUCACAUCGAUGAUCCUCUUUGCCCUGCUAACAAUGUGGGACGGAAUUGUUUCCGGGUCCACCAAUGCAUCAGGGUUGGCUCAAAUUAUCUUUUCUGGACUGGUUGAAUCCUUCUAUUGUUGUCUAGAGCUUUUGGAGUUGUGGCAAUGCUGUGAUUAUGCUCUUUUAUAUGGCUUUUGCUGUUCUAGAGAACGAGCUACUGCAGUUCACUGCAGAAUAUAACAUGCCCGCAUCAUCAUUCAGCCUGCUGAAGAAAAUAAUUCCAAGCAUUGAUUCCAAUGAGUUGUACCAGUAAAAAGAACCUAUGAUUCCACGAGCUGCAGGAACUGUUGGGUUGGAAUGGCCUCCUCUGUGUUCUAGACACUGAGUUACUACUGCAGCUGGUGGAAAAGGAGUUUACAGAGGGAGUACAUUUUAGUAGUACUACGUUAUUUAUAUGAUGGAUGCCAUGGAUUCUUAGUAAUGCCCAUGAACAUGAUGGUUGCAUGUUCGUGUGGGACCGCAAGUACCCCAUGAACGCGCCGCUGAAAGAGACGGUCACCAACAUCUAGCCGCAGGUAGCCAAGAUCGAGGAUGGCAUGAAAGUCAUGGUUGCUGUGGCCCAAGUCAAGCUGAAGAGAGUAGAAACACGUACAGUUCUGUUGGUAGUUGUGUCCCAAAAAGCCAUGGAGUGGAUUCUGUACUUCAGGUUCGCUGGCUCAGAACUUGGAAGCGAACAAGUGCCAUGGCGAACUGCUUUGAGCUUGAUGAAAUGCAUAUGAAGGCAAAGGUUGCUGGAUGUUACAUACUCCCUCCGUUCCAAAAUAGAUGACCCAAUUUUGUAUUAAUGCUUUACUUUCAAAUUCUCUGAAUUCUUUCACGUAACAUUUCUUGCUUAUAGGUUCUAUCUUGUUUUAAGUUGCCUGGUGGUGUAUGAGCAAGGCUGGAGAUAUAUAGGCUUAUAGUCCAACAGUCAGAGGUUGAUUUGCUAUUCCUCGGUCUAUGUAAAUGUAUAAAUCGAUGAUGAUGUACAAACAAAUGAUAUUUUGUUUUUUAGAAAAGGAGGAUGACCCCCGGCCUCUGCAUCUGGGAGAUGCACGCGGUCAUUUUAUUGAUUA